UCUUCCAUCUAAUCUCAACUCGCUCUCUCAAUUCUUCUCGUAACCAUCUCAAAUUUCAGGUUUUCUCUAAAGAAAGGUGGAAGGGAUGGUGAUGAUGGUAUUGAAGAAGUGACUGUUUUAACAUUAGUAGAGAAGUCCAUGUUGUCCACGCUUCAAAGGGCUUCAUUGGUAGAGAAGUCCAGGCAAAAGUCACUGGAGAGGAUGAGGGUUUUAUCUGAUGUACGUUGUUAUUCUAAAUUUUAAGUGAUGUGGUUACACUGCUUAUGCCUUGGUUAAGGAAGCUUAUUAAAUAUUGUUUUGUUAGGCACUAACAACCAGUAACUAUGGUUCUGAACCUAUGCUUCAAAAUUGUGAAAUUUCUAUAAGCACCGGCUUUAUUCAAGUGGAUGGUCGUGUUCUGCCUUCACCAAGGGUAUUUAAUAUUUCUUUUUGUCAUUGUGCUCUUGAAACUUGUUUAUUGUGUGUUGCCUUGUUGUUCUAUUUGAACUUGGUGACCUGAGGUUUUCUUAAUUAUGACUUGGAAGGUCCCUGAAGAAUAUAGUACUAAAUUUAAUGGAUCUUCUAUUUUAAAGGUAUAAAAUUCUAAUUCUUCCUCAUAUUAAUCAUCUAAAUGUUAGUAGUUAUUAACACAUAAGUUUUCUUGUUGAACUGGUGGCAGAGAUGUAGUUCCAAUGCACACUUCUGAAACAGCAAGUGGGAGAGGGGGGCACGGUUUGAUUCGAUUUGGUUAGAGCGAUGGAUGAAAGAAAGAGAAAACAGAGAUGACGAUGAGGAGAAGAUGAGUGACAAGAUUUUGGAAGUAGACACAUGGAAACCACCACUAAGGUCAUUGAAAGGAAAAGAAGAAGUGUGUUCAAGAAUUGCCGAUAACAGCCCACAAAUAUUAUUGUCUUCGUCAUCAUCUAGGAGGCACAGUGCUCCUUCCAUGGCAAUGCAGGGCACCCCAACUACAUGUCUAACACGCACUCUUCUAGAGCUAAGGUUAGAUCACAGAGUGCACCAAGAUAGAGACUUGAUUAUGAUAGAUACAGAUAUGCUUGUUCCAAUAAUACUCUUCUUCAUUAUCAUUCACAUUUAAGGAGUAAGGUGUCAAGUAGUCGUUUCAAUAGAAUUGGGGUUACCAAUUUAAGGUGACAUUGCUUGCAUGCAUGUCUUUGAAUAUAUCUUUAUGCACACUAAAUAAUAAUAUUCAUUAUCAAUGCUUUUGUAAUUUCUCAUCAAGCUAUAUAUAGUAACGGACUAAGCUGUCUUGUCUACAACUAUUCAUCUUAGCAAAAAGGUACGUUGCUAGCUACU